rnacentral:rRNA from 1 species
UACGUAGGAUGCAAGCGUUGUCCGGAUUUACUGGGCGUAAAGCGCGCGCAGGCGGCACAUUAAGUAAGGUGUGAAAUAUCCCGGCUCAACCGGGAGGGUGCACUUUAGACUGAUGAGCUUGAGGUCGGUAGAGGGGGGUGGAAUUGCUGGUGUAGCGGUGAAAUGCGUAGAGAUCAGCAGGAACACCGGUGGCGAAGGCGGCCAUCUGGACCGGAACUGACGCUGAGGCGCGAAAGCUAGGGGAGCGAAUGGG